AAACCAGCACCUCAAGUGGUCAGGAUGAUUAUUGGGCCUAAAGCAUCCGUAGCCUGCUCUGUAAGUUUUCGGUUAAAUCUGUACGCUUAACGUACAGGCUGUCGGGAAUACUGCAGAGCUAGGGAGUGGGAGAGGUAGACGGUACUCGGGAGGAAGUGGUAAAAUGCUUUGAUCUCUCGAUGACCACCUGUGGCGAAGGCGGUCUACCAGAACACGUCCGACGGUGAGGGAUGAAAGCUGGGGGAGCAAACCGGAUUAGAAACCCGGGUAGUCC
rnacentral:rRNA from 1 species